rnacentral:rRNA from 1 species
UACGGGGGGGGCAAGCGUUGUUCGGAAUUACUGGGCGUAAAGGGCUCGUAGGCGGCCAACUAAGUCGGAUGUGAAAUCCCCAGGCUUAACCUGGGAACUGCAUCCGAUACUGGAUGGCUUGAAUUCGAGAGAGGGAUGCAGAAUUCCAGGUGUAGCGGUGAAAUGCGUAGAUAUCUGGAGGAAUACCGGUGGCGAAGGCGGCAUCCUGGACCGACAUUGACGCUGAGGAGCGAAAGCUAGGGGAGCAAACGGG